GCCGCAGUAGCCUGACUGUGCUAAGGUAGCAUAAUCAUUUGGUUUUUUAUUGGAAUCUGGUAUGAAAGAAUAAAUAGGGAAGAACUGUCUAAUAAGAGGUUUUGAACCUAAAUUUUUAGUAAUAAUGCUAGAAUGAUUUUGUGGGACGAUAAGACCCUAUAAAGCUUAAUUUGUUAGCUUUAAAUGUCUCUACUGGGUUUAAAGGGGCACAAAUUUGACUGGGGCGGUUGGUAAAAUAACUUGUUUUGAUUUGGGUAUGUUUUGAUCCAUCUAUGGUGAAAGAAGAAUAAGUUACUUUAGGGAUAACAGCACAAUAUCCCUAUGGAGCCCUAAUCGAAGGGGAUGUUUGUGACCUCGAUGUUGAAUUAAUCUUAAUGUACGAUGGAGAAGUUGUAUGUUUUAGUCUGUUCGACUAUUGAAUGAUUACAUGAUUUGAGUUCAAACCGGUGUAAG
rnacentral:rRNA from 1 species